AAACUGCGAUAAGUAGCGUGAAUUGCAGACGCUUUGAACGUUAAACUUUCGAACGCACAUUGCGCCGUAGGAGUCCUACCCUGCGGCACAUCUGGUUGAGGGUCGUGAUCAAAAACAGCAGGACUAUGGCUGGAAUAGAAAUAGCUGGUGAAUCACGAGUUCGGCCUACCGCCUCUGGCCGAACGUGUUUUGCCAUAAUGCUAGAAGAGGACAAUCGCUCGCAAGAGAGAUUGCCUACCACACGGAUGAUCUAUUAGCUGAAGCAAUAGGUCUCGGUCACCGGGUAUCAUGCUUAUAUACUCUGUGGCGUCUGAGAUACAGCUAGUGGGCUUCAUACGUGCCUGGUAUUGAGAGUAUUCGCUCUCCCGACCUCAACUCAGGUGUGAUUACCCGCUGAACUUAAGC
rnacentral:misc_RNA from 1 species